rnacentral:rRNA from 1 species
GACGAACGCUGGCGGCGUGCUUAACACAUGCAAGUCGAACGGAAAGGCCUUUUCGGAGGUACUCGAGUGGCGAACGGGUGGGUAACACGUGGGUGAUCUGCCCUGCACUCUGGGAUAAGCCUGAGAAACUGGGUCUAAUACCGGAUAGGACCGCACUUUAGCGUGUGUGGUGGAAAGUUUUUUCGGUGUAGGAUGAGCCCGCGGCCUAUCAGCUUGUUGGUGGGGUAAUGGCCUACCAAGGCGGCGACGGGUAGCCAGACUGAGAGGUUGGUCGGCCACAUUGGGACUGAGAUACGGCCCAGGCUCCUACGGGUGGGAGCAGGGGGGAAAAUUGCACAAUGGGCGCGAGCCUGAUGCAGCAACGCCGCGGGGGGGAGGACGGCCUUCGGGUUGUAAACUCCUUUCGCCAGGGACGAAGCGUUUUGUGACGGUACCUGGAGAAGAAGCACCGGCUAACUACGUG